GGGUUUCUUUUGCGGGACAGAGGAUCAGAUGUUGAGAGUUUGGACAGACUCAUGAAAACCAAAAACAUACCUGAAGCUCACCAAAAUGCAUUGAAAACUGGGUUUGCAGAAGGUUUUCUGAAAGCUCAAGCACUCUCAAAAAAAAACAGAUUCCCUAAGACGAACCUGUCUGAUUCUCUUCUUUCUGCUGCUAUUCGGCAUUUACGGACUUUUAAAAAACCCAUUUUAUCUGGUAAAAUUCCAGACAACAAUGGGGCUUGAUUCUGCAAUAGAUCCUGUCCAGAUAAAAGAUGUUACCUUUGAACGUGUUAGAAUAAAAAGAAAUGAACAAAGCCUCCAAGAAAUAUGGGACUAUGUGAAAAGACCAAAUCUACAUUUCAUUGGUGUACCCAAAAGUGACGGGGAG
rnacentral:lncRNA from 1 species